UUUGGGAAAACAAAAAUGGUAUUUUGGAUC
rnacentral:piRNA from 1 species